rnacentral:lncRNA from 1 species
GCCGUUUUUGAUGAUGGAGUUUUCGAAUCGACGAUCGGCUCCGUUAAACUUGAUCUACCGUAUUUAAAGUUUCUAGAAAAUAAUUUUUGCGAUUUUUCGAUAUCAUUUACCUAGCAAUCGAAAGGAUUCAAAAUCAAUAAUUUUUAAUGGCUGAAAAUAAAAAUCCUAUAAAAAGUGGUGAUAUAGCACUAAAAUUUUCGAUCAGAAAUAUAGAUCUUGUUGUAGAUAGUAUAAAGAAUUUUCUAUCAAAAUUUCAUCUGAUUUGAAUAUUUCUACACCGUUAAACUUGAAAACGGCAGAUAUCAACCAUUAAAAAUUAUGAAUUUUGAAUCCUUUCGAUCACUAGGUAAAUGAUAUCGAAAAAUCACAAAAAUUAUUUUCUAGAAACUUCAAAUGCGCUAGAUCAAGUCUAACGGAGCCGAUCGUCGAUUCGAAAACUCCAUCAUCAAAAACGGCUCAGGAGCACGGAGGC